GCGCCGCUCCAGGCGGCAUCGCAGGGCUGGGCCGGCGCGGCCUGGGGACCCCGGGCUCCGGAGGCCAUGCCGGCGUUGGCGCGCGACGGCGGCCAGCUGCCGCUGCUCGUUGUUUUUUCUGCAAUGAUAUUUGGGACUAUUACAAAUCAAGAUCUGCCUGUGAUCAAGUGUGUUUUAAUCAAUCAUAAGAACAAUGAUUCAUCAGUGGGGAAGUCAUCAUCAUAUCCCAUGGUAUCAGAAUCCCCGGAAGACCUCGGGUGUGCGUUGAGACCCCAGAGCUCAGGGACAGUGUACGAAGCUGCCGCUGUGGAAGUGGAUGUAUCUGCUUCCAUCACACUGCAAGUGCUGGUCGACGCCCCAGGGAACAUUUCCUGUCUCUGGGUCUUUAAGCACAGCUCCCUGAAUUGCCAGCCACAUUUUGAUUUACAAAACAGAGGAGUUGUUUCCAUGGUCAUUUUGAAAAUGACAGAAACCCAAGCUGGAGAAUACCUACUUUUUAUUCAGAGUGAAGCUACCAAUUACACAAUAUUGUUUACAGUGAGUAUAAGAAAUACCCUGCUUUACACAUUAAGAAGACCUUACUUUAGAAAAAUGGAAAACCAGGACGCCCUGGUCUGCAUAUCUGAGAGCGUUCCAGAGCCGAUCGUGGAAUGGGUGCUUUGCGAUUCACAGGGGGAAAGCUGUAAAGAAGAAAGUCCAGCUGUUGUUAAAAAGGAGGAAAAAGUGCUUCAUGAAUUAUUUGGGACGGACAUAAGGUGCUGUGCCAGAAAUGAACUGGGCAGGGAAUGCACCAGGCUGUUCACAAUAGAUCUAAAUCAAACUCCUCAGACCACAUUGCCACAAUUAUUUCUUAAAGUAGGGGAACCCUUAUGGAUAAGGUGCAAAGCUGUUCAUGUGAACCAUGGAUUCGGGCUCACCUGGGAAUUAGAAAACAAAGCACUCGAGGAGGGCAACUACUUUGAGAUGAGUACCUAUUCAACAAACAGAACUAUGAUACGGAUUCUGUUUGCUUUUGUAUCAUCAGUGGCAAGAAACGACACCGGAUACUACACUUGUUCCUCUUCAAAGCAUCCCAGUCAAUCAGCUUUGGUUACCAUCGUAGAAAAGGGAUUUAUAAAUGCUACCAAUUCAAGUGAAGAUUAUGAAAUUGACCAAUAUGAAGAGUUUUGUUUUUCUGUCAGGUUUAAAGCCUACCCACAAAUCAGAUGUACGUGGACCUUCUCUCGAAAAUCAUUUCCUUGUGAGCAAAAGGGUCUUGAUAACGGAUACAGCAUAUCCAAGUUUUGCAAUCAUAAGCACCAGCCAGGAGAAUAUAUAUUCCAUGCAGAAAAUGAUGAUGCCCAAUUUACCAAAAUGUUCACGCUGAAUAUAAGAAGGAAACCUCAAGUGCUCGCAGAAGCAUCGGCAAGUCAGGCGUCCUGUUUCUCGGAUGGAUACCCAUUACCAUCUUGGACCUGGAAGAAGUGUUCAGACAAGUCUCCCAACUGCACAGAAGAGAUCACAGAAGGAGUCUGGAAUAGAAAGGCUAACAGAAAAGUGUUUGGACAGUGGGUGUCGAGCAGUACUCUAAACAUGAGUGAAGCCAUAAAAGGGUUCCUGGUCAAGUGCUGUGCAUACAAUUCCCUUGGCACAUCUUGUGAGACGAUCCUUUUAAACUCUCCAGGCCCCUUCCCUUUCAUCCAAGACAACAUCUCAUUCUAUGCAACAAUUGGUGUUUGUCUCCUCUUCAUUGUCGUUUUAACCCUGCUAAUUUGUCACAAGUACAAAAAGCAAUUUAGGUAUGAAAGCCAGCUACAGAUGGUACAGGUGACCGGCUCCUCAGAUAAUGAGUACUUCUACGUUGAUUUCAGAGAAUAUGAAUAUGAUCUCAAAUGGGAGUUUCCAAGAGAAAAUUUAGAGUUUGGGAAGGUACUAGGAUCAGGUGCUUUUGGAAAAGUGAUGAACGCAACAGCUUAUGGAAUUAGCAAAACAGGAGUCUCAAUCCAGGUUGCCGUCAAAAUGCUGAAAGAAAAAGCAGACAGCUCUGAAAGAGAGGCACUCAUGUCAGAACUCAAGAUGAUGACCCAGCUGGGAAGCCACGAGAAUAUUGUGAACCUGCUGGGGGCGUGCACACUGUCAGGACCAAUUUACUUGAUUUUUGAAUACUGUUGCUAUGGUGAUCUUCUCAACUAUCUAAGAAGUAAAAGAGAAAAAUUUCACAGGACUUGGACAGAGAUUUUCAAGGAACACAAUUUCAGUUUUUACCCCACUUUCCAAUCACAUCCAAAUUCCAGUAAAAAGAAAUGAGCUUUACAAAGGCAAACUGGAAAAAAGAAGGAUGGUGAAACGCUUACGGGACUCUCGGGAAGAUCUGUAUUAUGUGAGGGAAAGUGGGCUGAGUUCAGAAACCAAAGAAUGAGAUCGAUCAUGCCUGGUUCAAGAGAAGUUCAGAUACACCCGGACUCGGAUCAAAUCUCAGGGCUUCAUGGGAAUUCAUUUCACUCUGAAGAUGAAAUUGAAUAUGAAAACCAAAAAAGGCUGGAAGAAGAGGAGGACUUGAAUGUGCUUACAUUUGAAGAUCUUCUUUGCUUUGCAUAUCAAGUUGCCAAAGGAAUGGAAUUUCUGGAAUUUAAGUCGUGUGUUCACAGAGACCUGGCCGCCAGGAACGUGCUUGUCACCCACGGGAAAGUGGUGAAGAUAUGUGACUUUGGAUUGGCUCGAGAUAUCAUGAGUGAUUCCAACUAUGUUGUCAGGGGCAAUGCCCGUCUGCCUGUAAAAUGGAUGGCCCCCGAAAGCCUGUUUGAAGGCAUCUACACCAUUAAGAGUGAUGUCUGGUCAUAUGGAAUAUUACUGUGGGAAAUCUUCUCACUUGGUGUGAAUCCUUACCCUGGCAUUCCGGUUGAUGCUAACUUCUACAAACUGAUUCAAAAUGGAUUUAAAAUGGAUCAGCCAUUUUAUGCUACAGAAGAAAUAUACAUUAUAAUGCAAUCCUGCUGGGCUUUUGACUCAAGGAAACGGCCAUCCUUCCCUAAUUUGACUUCGUUUUUAGGAUGUCAGCUGGCAGAUGCAGAAGAAGCGAUGUAUCAGAAUGUGGAUGGCCGUGUUUCGGAAUGUCCUCACACCUACCAAAACAGGCGACCUUUCAGCAGAGAGAUGGAUUUGGGGCUACUCUCUCCGCAGGCUCAGGUCGAAGAUUCGUAGAGGAACAAUUUAGUUUUAAGGACUUCAUCCCUCCACCUAUCCCUAACAGGCUGUAGAUUACCAAAACAAGAUUAAUUUCAUCACUAAAAGAAAAUCUAUUAUCAACUGCUGCUUCACCAGACUUUUCUCUAGAAGCUGUCUGCGUUUACUCUUGUUUUCAAAGGGACUUUUGUAAAAUCAAAUCAUCCUGUCACAAGGCAGGAGGAGCUGAUAAUGAACUUUAUUGGAGCAUUGAUCUGCAUCCAAGGCCUUCUCAGGCUGGCUUGAGUGAAUUGUGUACCUGAAGUACAGUAUAUUCUUGUAAAUACAUAAAACAAAAGCAUUUUGCUAAGGAGAAGCUAAUAUGAUUUUUUAAGUCUAUGUUUUAAAAUAAUAUGUAAAUUUUUCAGCUAUUUAGUGAUAUAUUUUAUGGGUGGGAAUAAAAUUUCUACUACAGAAUUGCCCAUUAUUGAAUUAUUUACAUGGUAUAAUUAGGGCAAGUCUUAACUGGAGUUCACGAACCCCCUGAAAUUGUGCACCCAUAGCCACCUACACAUUCCUUCCAGAGCACGUGUGCUUUUACCCCAAGAUACAAGGAAUGUGUAGGCAGCUAUGGUUGUCACAGCCUAAGAUUUCUGCAACAACAGGGGUUGUAUUGGGGGAAGUUUAUAAUGAAUAGGUGUUCUACCAUAAAGAGUAAUACAUCACCUAGACACUUUGGCGGCCUUCCCAGACUCAGGGCCAGUCAGAAGUAACAUGGAGGAUUAGUAUUUUCAAUAAAGUUACUCUUGUCCCCACA